rnacentral:rRNA from 1 species
UACGUAGGGUGCGAGCGUUGUCCGGAAUUAUUGGGCGUAAAGAGCUUGUAGGCGGUUUGUCGCGUCUGCCGUGAAAAUCCGAGGCUCAACCUCGGACUUGCGGUGGGUACGGGGCAGACUAGAGUGUGGUAGGGGAGACUGGAAUUCCUGGUGUAGCGGUGAAAUGCGCAGAUAUCAGGAGGAACACCGAUGGCGAAGGCAGGUCUCUGGGCCACUACUGACGCUGAGAAGCGAAAGCAUGGGGAGCGAACAGG